rnacentral:rRNA from 1 species
GAUGAACGCUGGCGGCGUGCCUAAUACAUGCCAGUCGAGCGAACAGAUGAGGAGCUUGCUCCUCUGACGUUAGCGGCGGACGGGUGAGUAACACGUGGAUAACCUACCUAUAAGACUGGGAUAACUCCGGGAAACCGGAGCUAAUACCGGAUAAUAUAUUGAACCGCAUGGUUCAAUAGUGAAAGACGGUUUUGCUGUCACUUAUAGAUGGAUCCGCGCCGCAUUAGCUAGUUGGUAAGGUAACGGCUUACCAAGGCAACGAUGCGUAGCCGACCUGAGAGGGUGAUCGGCCACACUGGAACUGAGACACGGUCCAGACUCCUACGGGAGGCAGCAGUAGGGAAUCUUCCGCAAUGGGCGAAAGCCUGACGGAGCAACGCCGCGUGAGUGAUGAAGGUCUUCGGAUCGUAAAACUCUGUUAUUAGGGAAGAACAAAUGUGUAAGUAACUAUGCACGUCUUGACGGUACCUAAUCAGAAAGCCACGGCUAACUACGUG